UGAAAGGGAGAGGGAGCCGAUCCCCCCAACCCGAUGAAGGUGAUGAUGGCGACGACUCAGACAACCAGAUUGGUAGUGAUGGCGGCUAGGGUUCCAGUUGAAGGGUUUUGAAACCAGAUUGUGAAGGUGUUGAGGAUGUCUGCAACCUUUAAGCACCAAGAAAUAUGAGAGCGACACAUAAUAUAGAGAGACGGUGGAAACAAUUUACGAUAGUGUACCCAGUAGCGCACGACGUCGCUUCUCAAUUCCGAUGCAUACAUGACCGCCACAAGAAAAAAACAGGGGCGAGAAGUGUAUUCUGGUGAAGUCUGACGAGUCUCCGACAAUUAAGAUCCGAUGUAGCAGGUUAUUAAUCUAUGUUGAUUGAACUCCGAUGUAGCAGGGUGUAGGUAACAACUUUAUCAUGGAAUUUUGAUGUUGGAGCAGAUGGAGUGAUAUUUGCAAUGCCCGGCAACAAUGGGACAGAUUAUACAACGAAUUCCGAUGGUAGCGAGCCCGAGGUUGGUUUUGCUGAUUACAAGGGUCAUAUUUUCUGAUAGAUGUUGAGGUGGCCGAAGAAUCAGCUCAACGGCGUUCAAGAACGUAAUGGCCGGCCUCAGGAUGAUCAGAUGAAUCAAAGUUCAAGAUAAUGUGUAAUGGGGUAUUCAAGAUCUCACAUUGAAUGAUGGUAAGGAUGACUGUAGCUAUGCAUUGCAUGCCUUAAAACUGAAAAGGAUAUUGGACCCAUGGACGGGUUGAUUACGGAUGACACACCAAGGUUAUACAAACUUUAGAAAGGUUUCCGAACUUGAAGUAUCAAGACGUGCACGAGACAUCAUCGAAUAAAGUGGCGGUGAGGUUUGAUGCAGCAAAAAGAAUCCAUGUCCGAGGAUCACGAUACGGGAUGUGAAAUUGUGCAUUAAUGUUGGUGGAUCAACUUCCAACGUGAUGAAAGCCCACAAGCCUAUUUUUAGAGUGAGUGAGUGAUUGAUUGUUUAGUGGUAGGAUUUAUUGGAGUUGAUAAUUGGUUAGUUUGGGAAUUUCGUUUUAUAUGUAUCAUGCUGAUUGAGGACAUUCUCAGUCAUGCCCAUUGGUUCUAUUUCACAGUUAUGUGGCAUUGAUGCUACUUGCCAUGGUUUGACGCUCCCGCCGCAACGCGCGGG
rnacentral:lncRNA from 1 species